rnacentral:rRNA from 1 species
CCCUUAGAUGUCCUGGGCCGCACGCGCGCUACACUGAUGCAUUCAACGAGUAUUUCCUUGGCCGAGAGGCCUGGGCAAUCUUUUAAACCUGCAUCGUGAUAGGGAUAGAUUAUUGCAAUUAUUAAUCUUGAACGAGGAAUUCCUAGUAAACGCAAAUCAUCAAUUUGCAUUGAUUACGUCCCUGCCCUUUGUACACACCGCCCGUCGCACCUACCGAUUGAAUGGUCCGGUGAAAUCUCGGGAUUGUGGCCAGUUCACUUUAUUGGGAGUUGGCUGCGAGAACUUGUUUAAACCUUAUCAUUUAGAGGAAGGUGAAGUCGUAACA